CCAGGGGGCCGGGCAGCCGCGUCGCUCGCCAGAGCGCCGAGGAAAGUCCGGGCUCCACGAAACAAGGGUGGCGGGUAACACCCGCCGGGCCGGGAACUUCGGUUUCAGGCCAAGGGACAGUGCCACAGAGAGCAGACCGCCUCCGCGCGAGCGGCGGCAAGGGUGAAAGGGUGCGGCAAGAGCGCACCGGGGUCCUGGCAACAGGGCCCGCACGGCAAACCCCACCCGGAGCAAGGCCAAAUAGGGGCCUCGCGCCCCCACGGGGGCAGGGAUGUUUCGUCCCGAGAGGCCCGGGUUGGCUGCUUGAGCGCACGUGGCAACACGUCGCCUAGAUGAAUGGCUGCCCCGGCGGCGCUGGUCCCCUGGGAUACCGGCCGCCGGACAGAACCCGGCUUACAGGCCCCCUGGUAAC
rnacentral:RNase_P_RNA from 1 species